rnacentral:rRNA from 1 species
UUAUUUGAGAGUUUGAUCCUGGCUCAGGAUGAACGCUGGCGGCGUGGAUAAGGCAUGCAAGUCGAGUGGGUUUAGACCCACGGCGAACGGGUUAGUAACGCGUAGGAAUCUACCUUGAAGUCUGGAAUAAUCCGGAGAAAUCCGGGAUAAUACCAGAUAGUCCCCGACUUUAUGUCUGGGUAAAGUAUCACUUCGGUGAUUUCGCUUCGAGAGGUGCCUGCGUCCUAUCAGCUUGUUGGUGAGGUAAUGGCUCACCAAGGCUAUGACGGGUAGGGGGAGUGAGAGCUUGGCCCCCAACAACGGUACUGCGACACGGACCGUACACCUACGGGUGGCAGCAGUCGAGAAUCUUCCACAAUGGGCGAAAGCCUGAUGGAGCGACGCCGCGUGUUUGAUGAAUCCCUUCGGGGUGUAAAGAACUUUUCUGUCUGAGAAAUCCCGACUUUUGUCGUGGAUGAUGUUAGGACAGGAAUAAGGGGUGGCUAACUUCGUGCCAGAAGCCUCGGUAAUACGAAGGCCCCAAGCGUUAUCCGGAAUCACUGGGCGUAAAGCGUGUGUAGGCGGUUUUAAUAGUGGCUGGUUAAAUUCCGAGGCUCAACCUCGGAGCUGCCCGCCAAACGUUAAGACUAGAGUAGGUGAGAGGCCAAUGGAACUUACCAAGUAGGGGUGAAAUCCAUUGAUAUGGUAGGGAACGCCAAAGGCGAAGGCAAUUGGCUGGUGCCUAACUGACGCUGAAACACGAAAGCGUGGGGAGAAAAGAGGAUUAGAUACCCUCGUAUUCCACGCCGUAAACGAUG